rnacentral:rRNA from 1 species
ACGCUGGCGGCGUGGAUUAGGCAUGCAAGUCGAACGGUAUCAUCCUUUCGGGGGUGAGAGAGUGGCGAACUGGUGAAGUAACACGUAGGUUAUCUACCCUCAAGACGGGGACAACCCAGGGAAACUUGGGCUAAUACCGGAUGUGAGCAACUUUUAGUUGUUUGAAAGGUGGCGUAAGCUGUCGCUUGGGGAUGAGCCUGCGUCCUAUUAGUUAGUUGGUGAGGUAACGGCUCACCUAGGCAAUGAUAGGUAGGCGGCCUUAACGGGUGGUCGCCCACACUGGGAUUGAGAUACGGCCCAGACUCCUACGGGAGGCAGCAGUCGAGAAUAGUCUACAAUGGUCGGAAGACUGAUAGUGCGACGCCGCGUGAACGAUGAAUCCCUUCGGGGUGUAAAGUUCUUUUAUAUGUGAGCAGUGCUUCUUAUAUUAACAGUAUGGGGAGAGAGAUAUUAGCAUAUGAAUAAGCAACGGCUAACUCCGUG